GACGAACCGGUCGAACGUUAUUCGGAAUCAUUGGGCUUAAAGGGUGCGUAGGCGGUGCGGAAAGUUGGGUGUGAAAGCCCUCGGCUCAACCGAGGAAUUGCGCCCAAUACUGCCGUGCUAGAGGGAGACAGAGGUGAGCGGAACUGAUGGUGGAGCGGUGAAAUGCGUUGAUAUUAUCAGGAACACCAGUAGCGAAAGCGGCUCACUGGGUCUCUUCUGACGCUGAGGCACGAAAGCUAGGGUAGCGAACAGG
rnacentral:rRNA from 1 species